rnacentral:rRNA from 1 species
GACGAACGCUGGCGGCGUGCUUAACACAUGCAAGUCGAACGAAAAGAGGGAAAGAGCUUGCUCUUUCCGGAAUUGAGUGGCAAACGGGUGAGUAACACGUAAACAACCUGCCUUCAGGAUGGGGACAACAGACGGAAACGACUGCUAAUACCGAAUAAGUUCCAAGAGCCGCAUGGCCCAUGGAAGAAAAGGUGGCCUCUACCUGUAAGCUAUCGCCUGAAGAGGGGUUUGCGUCUGAUUAGCUGGUUGGAGGGGUAACGGCCCACCAAGGCGACGAUCAGUAGCCGGUCUGAGAGGAUGAACGGCCACACUGGCACUGAGACACGGUCCAGACUCCUACGGGAGGCAGCAGUGGGGAAUCUUCCGCAAUGGGCGAAAGCCUGACGGAGCAACGCCGCGUGAGUGAUGACGGCCUUCGGGUUGUAAAACUCUGUGAUCCGGGACGAAAAGGCAGAGUGCGAAGAACAAACUGCAUUGACGGUACCGGAAAAGCAAGCCACGGCUAACUACGUG